GUACACAAAAAUGCACAUAUUGUGAGCUCGAUGAGUAGGGCGGGACACGUGGUAUCCUGUCUGAAUAUGGGGGGACCAUCCUCCAAGGCUAAAUACUCCUGACUGACCGAUAGUGAACCAGUACCGUGAGGGAAAGGCGAAAAGAACCCCGGCGAGGGGAGUGAAAAAGAACCUGAAACCGUGUACGUACAAGCAGUGGGAGCCUCUUAAUGGGGUGACUGCGUACCUUUUGUAUAAUGGGUCAGCGACUUAUAUUCUGUAGCAAGGUUAACCGAAUAGGGGAGCCGAAGGG
rnacentral:rRNA from 1 species